rnacentral:lncRNA from 1 species
GAGAGUAGAAUAUGACAGGAAACGUCGUACACCCUGAAUGUAAUAUGGUAUAUGUCGAGCUGUAUCGAUCAGUUUAUCCACACCCUCCAAAAGUAUGACUGCUAGAAAGAAAUUUGUUUUACCCUCCAAAAAUAUGACUGCUAGAAAGAAAUUUGUUUUCAGUUCUGACCGUAGAUGCAGCUUCAAGCAUGGUGUCGAUUACGGAUGCAUCAGGCUCUGAGGUAUUAUGGCCGUGAAAUUCGCCCCUCAUGAAUACCUAAUGACCAUAUAUAGAUGGUGACUGGAAU